rnacentral:misc_RNA from 1 species
UCAACCCUCAAGCCCCCGGCUUGGUGUUGGAGACAGGCUGGGCCUCGUGCCUAGGCCGCUCCCAAAGACAAUGACGGCGGCGACGACGACCCCCGGUACACUGAGCUUUUCACCGAGCACGUACUGGAAGGGCGGCGUGGUCACGGUCUGCCUCCCCUCAGGGAGAAUUUUUACCAA